ensembl:lncRNA
CAAGGUUACACAUUUUUGAAAUCACAAGGUCCAAAAAAGCGACCCCCAGGAGUCAUGGAAGAGUUGGUAUAGGAUAUUUUUAGCUUCCUUAUGUAUAUUUUUAAUAGAUAACAAAAUAGUGUGGAAAUCUGCAAAGGUCAAUAUUGUGUAAAAAUUCCAAGGCAAAUGAAACCACUCAGGUAAAUACAGUCCUACUUGGUACCAAUCUCAGGCAAAGUAAUGGAGAAAUUGGUGGAAGAUCUAAUUAAUAAAACGUUUAAAUAUAAGAUUGUAAUUAAUGCAAUAUUACUGACAAGGAGAUUGCAAUUUCAGACUGGGACACAUAGUUGAUAGAGAGUAUCCAGGAGCAAUCUGUUCAAAACUGGGGGGACAGAAGGAGGGACUUCUGAAUUCAGUGAUGAGGUAAGGAUGCUGUAAGGGCUGCAACCCAAGCAGAGAGGCAAGGCAGCAUCCCAUGGGAAAAGCAGCAGAUGACUGUUCCAUGGGCAACUGCACUGUCAUAUGCAUGCAGUUCGUGUGAAAGGCGAGCUUCUGACUUUUGACUUGCAGUUCUUUAAUAUAGAAAAAUCAUUCAGGUAAAUAAAUUAUGUGAUUAAGAAGCAGCCUGCAAAGAUAUAAAUGAAGCAGCAGCAGGAAACAAGGCAGGAUAGGCUGUUCCUGGAAGCGAGGGGAGCAGUGAGGCUGUGGGAUGUUCAGUUGGCAAAGAAAUAGAGGAUAAAGAGAAGAGAGGGAAAGGGGCAAGCAAUACAGGUUUUAGAGGCUACAUAAAAUGUCCUUAACCAGCUUUCAUGAAAAGCUGAGUGCAUGACUGAACUCCGCUCCUAAAGGAGUGCUCCAGCAGAUUAACAGGAAUACAAUGAAGGGUCAUUUUUUCUCUUGGAGCUAUUGAAUUCCUUCCUUUCAUUGAAUCAGUACAUUGCAGAUUUUGCUUAUCAAAAGUCCUUUAGUGCUGUUUGAUGAUGAGCCAUAUUCUGCCUUGACUGCCAUCCCAGGCAUCCCCACCAAGUUCAAUGACGUCUUGUGGAGAAUAAAGUGAGGCAGACGUUAGCUUGAUGUCUUUAACAGUGUUGCGGCUGCUAAUGAAGCACAAUCUGAUUUGGUACAUGUUUGGAGACUGUCACUGACAUGUGGUAGAAUAGACAGUCUCUGCUGUCUCUGCAAUUGAUUCGUCAAGUGCACUAUGCGUAUAGGAAAUUGGAACAUCUCUUCUGUUUGGUUUUGUUGCCAUUGAGGAGUCACGUGGAUAAAGCAUACAAUAAUUAUUUUGGGAAUUUUUGGCAAUGAAAUGGUUUCCCUCUUCUCCCACUCCUUCCCCACCCAAAAGUAAUGGAGCUGUCAGGCUUAUUAGAUAGCACAGGCAAGUUUUAAAAAGUAAAGAAUGGGAGUGUUGCUUUUAUAAGAAAGAACUGUAGACCUGGAAAUGAUCCAUAUUUGGAAUAUAAAUGCAAGCUGUUAUGCAGAUCAAAGUAUCUAUUUGGAGCCAAAUUACUCAACAACAUCUAUCUAUGCCUCUUCAACACCUGCAGAUUAGCAAUGUAAUCUUGUGGAGGUUGCUAUAGCUACAUCUCUGGAGCAGGUGGAGUUCUUCGUCUCUGGGAGCGCUGCUAUGCUCAUUCUUUGCAAAUAAACCAUCUAAGAGUAUAUUUAAAAUGUCACCCUGGUGGAGUCAGUCCCUGUCUCUCUGACACUGUCACAUCAGAUCUGUUCUUAUCCGACUGAGCCCAGCUGUUUUCUUAAGAAACAAUGCUGCCUCCAUUUAAGCGCACUGCCUUCUCCUUGAGUACGUGUGCCUGGGCACCAGGCUUUGCCAAUCCAGACCUACUCGGGCCAUAAAGCUCAUCCUUGAGGUUAAGUUGGGGAGGACAGCACAGGUUUAUCUUGCAGUUAUGUAGUCUUGCCUACGCUGGUGGCACACAGAACUGUAACCUGGCACAAAGCAGAACUAUCAACCUUCAGCAACGCUAGUCAGGGCCUACAAGAAGUCCCUGGUUCAGUCAGCUAGUAGAUUUUCAAGAUGGUUGUAUACCUGUGUCUCCCAUCAUGGACUCUGCUUUUACACUGAAUACUUAAUCCUUCUUGCUUGGGCUCUCCUGUCAUUUGCCACAGCAAAGAGUUUCCCACAUGACCCUGCUUUCUGUUUGUCUGCAGUGACUGGCAUAUGCUGUAACCCUUAACCUUCUGUCAAUCAAGCCCACAUCAUGCUAACCUUUGUGAAAACACAAUAGGAAUCCCUGGGUGAAAAGCUGAUAGCCUGAAAGAAGGGCUCUGACAAGUAUUAAAAUAAAUGACAAGAGGCUAAGAAGAAGAAGCACCAAAGAGUAGAAAAUAAACAAAUCAGGAUACUUUGACUUGUCUGAUUUUGUCAUUCUCCUUGUUUGUCUUUUGCUCUAGUUGUAUGUGAAGUGCAGGCUUUUCAUUCCCCAGUGAAGGUAGGGAAAAAGAGAUUUCCUACCAAAACCUGUCAACAACAGCAACAACAGAGAAUGUUUCCCUCCUUGGCAAAUUUUAAUUUCUACAGUAGAAAGCUGAGUAUCAGAAAACGCUCCAAACAUAGCAACGCUUCAGUAGGUUUCAAUAGAAAGCUCCAGACUUCCCCAGAAAGAAAGAAAGAAAGAAAAGAAUAAUAUUUUUACCAAGCAGCAGAGUGACCAACUUCAUGCUCAGCACCACAUUUUCCAUGCAUUGCUUUUCCCUCCAGUUUAUUUUGUCCCUUGUCAUGUCUCUGAUACACUGUCUUUUUAACUUCCAAAUUCCUGAAAUAUGUCCGCUCCACAGAGCCUCCUAACUUUUGUCCUCCCCAAAAGUAGCGCUGUAAAAUUUAUUUCCAAAAGUUCAGGCAUAUAAAAAUAUGCCAUGUUGCCUUGAGACACAUCCAUCUCUGGGUCAAUUGGUGUCUUACACGUCACAACUGUAUUUCUCUUACCCUUAAGGCAACUUCUAUAUUCCAGUUCUCCAGACUGCUGGUAAAAUAAACCAGGGAAAAUGAUGAAGAGGCCACUCGUUAUGAUACAGGCUGCUUAGGGACUGGUCUUUCCACUUAUUUCAGGAACGGCUGUUGAAAAAGUUUUCAGCACUACUAAGAACAGGAGCUCCCAGCAACAUCAUUUUGGACAUCCAUGCACAUGAAAAGAAUGUGGUGAAAGAGCCCUGGGGAGGGAGGAGAAUGGAGAAGACCGGCCCAGUGUUCCACCAGUUUCCCGUGCAGGAAGCUGCCACUUCAUGGCAAGGAGCUGGUCUGAGCACUGUGUCCUCCACUGGCUGAACUAGGAAAAGGUUUGCAUCCACGGGCAGCAUGGUUUGGCAUGGAAAAGCACAGAUGGGCUCAGAAACUGUCUCCAAGCUGCUCUUGACAAGUAAAAUUGACAGCAGGACCUUGCAGUUAGAAGCCAGGCACAGGAACACGAGGUCAAGAGAAGUCAGCUGCACGAUUCCCUUUGAUUUCUAUGAGAUGAGAGUUACAGCUGGAAUUCGGGAUUCGGUUUCCACCUCUUCUCCAUACCUUCACUGUGCUUUCAGCAAGUGCAGCCAGGUACCCAGCUGCCUAAAUUCCAUAGCCUGAAAAUUUUGCUCAAGGGACUGCUGUUCACCAGGUCUGCAGCAUAUGCUUCCUUCAGCCCUUGUUCUGCACAGCAAAAGCAAACGGGAUCCCACUGAACGCCUUCCUGCCACCUCUAACUGAAACGCUCUGCAUACUUUUGCUCCCCAAAUUUUGUAUGGCUCAAAUAAAAUUGCUUACUUGAAAGUUAAGGUUUGUCAACGAUUUCUGACUUUUUUUUUAAAGAAGGUAGUGGUGUUUGUUUCUUUUCCUUCUCCAUGAUCAUUCAAGUGUUGGUAAGGGGCAAACUUUGAGCACAAGUUUUAUAUUUCUCAGGAAAUGAAUGUAUUUCCCUUGCUUUUCUAAAAUAUCAUACUUUCAACUUUGAGUUAUUUAUCCAAAUAUUUCUAUUCCCCGCUGUAUUCUGAACGUUUGAUCUAUGUGAGGCAGUGCUCUGUUUAACCUUGCUUGUACUGAAAGCAAUAAAAUAUAAAAUGAAUAGGUGGAAAGGGAUAGUAAAUCCCCACUGAGAAAUUAUCUGGCAGUUUCUGAGUCAUGGGAAGAUAUCAACAAAGUGAAAUUUAUUUAAUAUUGAUGAAUGGGACAGUAAUGCACCUAGGGAGAAAUAACAGCAAUCAACACAGAUAUUUAGGAGACAUUAAUAUAGAAAAAGACCUUGGGGUUGAAGCGGAUAAUUAAGUGCAUAAGAGCUCACAUUGCAAAACAAGCAAUCGGUGUUCCAGAGCGUGCAGCGUCAAAAGAGAUGUGCCGUGCAGCAAAGUGAGGGAUAAGUGCGGCACAACUUAGCCUGAGUAAGACUGGAGCUGGGGUGGGGUAUGAAUUUUUCAGCCUCCUCUUUUUAAGAAGACACGGGAAAGUGGCAGAGAAGUAAAAGACGGGUAGUAGAAAUGACAAAGAGAGCUGCGGGCAUUGCGUGUGAAGGCGCGGCGGAAAGUAAUUCAUUCAGCAGGAGGGAGCAGCGCCAGCCCUCCUGUCUGUGUGCCGCACGAAUGGACUUUCCCUGCAGCAGCAAUGGUAAAAGGGUCUCAAAUUAAAAAUGGAACAACUCCAUUUAGAUACAAGAGAAAUGACUUAAUACUAAGGGCUGUUACAUGGGCAAUGGAGUAAGCUGUCUGGUGAGCAGCUGAACACAAGGCACCGUCAAUAGAAGGUUUCUGGGGUGAGACUGGAAAAAGUGCCAGUGGGAUUACUGCAGAAGAGGCUUCUCAGCAUGAGCAUGGCUAACACAAAGGUCCUUUGCUGUCAUUUUCAUCGACACUUCUGGGAUCUCAAAGGCUGUGCACAAUAAAAGAGACAAUAUGUCCAGAUUUUAAUGAAAUCCAUCUGCCACGCUCAGUGAGACUACAUGGUGACUGGGACGAGAGGUGCAGCCCUGCAAGCCUCACCUCUGUAUCCCAUCUGCUCUACAGGCUUUCACAGGAGUGGGCCCGGGAGCUGAAGAUGCUGCAGAGGUGGGUUAUAGCCAUGUGCAUUUUCAGAGAAGCUGGCACAGCUCCUGCCUAUUUUGAAAUGUUUGCUUCUGGAAUUUGUGAUGCUUGAACCAGUUAAAUACUAGAUUAUCGUAAGUGUAAUUUACAUGUUUCCCAAGUAAGGGAAUGCGAGUGGAGAAGAGAAUUUCUGAAUGUUCGUAUUUCCAAAUUAAACCAGUGUAAAUGAGCCUUCUGUUCGAUUCAGUGUGUAACACAUUAUUUCAUGGCUGUCUCCUCAAUAUUACAGGCCCCUUUUACAUCAAGCAGUGUCAUACCCCAUCCAAAUCACUGUGAGAUAAAGAUGUUCC